ACCUCGAGUGCCAGGUUACAAAUCUGGCUGUCGAGAUGCCUAAAAAGCAUUUCAUAGCAAGGGCCGGGCAAGACCGGUGCCAGCCGCCGCGGUAACACCGGCGGCUCGAGUGGUAACCGUUAUUAUUGGGUCUAAAGGGUCUGUAGCCGGCCGGAUAAGUCUCUUGAGAAAUCUGGCAGCUUAACUGUCAGGCUUUCAGGAGAUACUGUCUGGCUCGAGGCCGGGAGAGGUGAGAGGUACUUCAGGGGUAGGGGUGAAAUCUUGUAAUCCUUGAAGGACCACCAGUGGCGAAGGCGUCUCACCAGAACGGACCUGACGGCAAGGGACGAAAGCUAGGGGCACGAACCGGAUUAGAUACCCGGGUAGUCCUAGCCGUAAACGAUACUCGCUAGGUGUCGGCCACGGUGCGACCGUUGUCGGUGCCGUAGGGAAGCCGUGAAGCGAGC
rnacentral:rRNA from 1 species